GUAGGUGGCAAGCGUUGUCCGGAAUUAUUGGGCGUAAAGCGCGCGCAGGCGGUCCUUUAAGUCUGAUGUGAAAGCCCACGGCUCAACCGUGGAGGGUCAUUGGAAACUGGGGGACUUGAGUACAGAAGAGGAAGGCGGAAUUCCAAGUGUAGCGGUGAAAUGCGUAGAGAUUUGGAGGAACACCAGUGGCGAAGGCGGCUUUCUGGUCUGUAACUGACGCUGAGGCGCGAAAGCGUGGGGAGCAAACAGGAUUAGAUACCCUGGUAGUCCACGCCGUAAACGAUGAGUGCUAAGUGUUAGGGGGUUUCCCGCCCCCCUUAGUGCUGCAGCUAACGCAUUAAGCACUCCGCCUGGGGGAGUACGGCCGCAAGGCUG
rnacentral:rRNA from 1 species